UACGUAGGGGGCGAGCGUUGUCCGGAUUUACUGGGCGUAAAGGACGCGCAGGCGGCCCGAGGGGUCUGUCGUUAAAGCCCGGGGCUCAACCCCGGGUGGUCGGCGGAGACCGGCGGGCUUGGAGGCCGGUAGAGGGAUGCGGAAUUCCCAGUGUAGUGGUGAAAUGCGUAGAGAUCGGGAGGAACACCAGAGGCGAAAGCGGCAUCCUGGGCCGGGCCUGACGCUGAGGCGUGAAAGCGUGGGGAGCGAACCGG
rnacentral:rRNA from 1 species